rnacentral:lncRNA from 1 species
GGUAUUACUGUCAUAUUUGGCAUAAAAUUGUAUCCAUCCUCCUCACAGAAAAAUUGAAACUCUACCGAAAAUGCCCUUUUGCAACUUUAUGCCUUCUCAACCCACAAAAUUUAAAAUCCGGAUCACAUAAGUAUAAGAAAGGAAAUUCAAAUAUGAAGGGCGUUUUUGGUAUUGCAUAAUAGAUUUACACACUGACCAAGAUCAGUUUGAUGGGACAAAAUGGAGUUUGAAGUAGUAUUGUAUUGCCUUUUAGGAAGACAAGUACAAUCACCUUUUUCAUUUUUCAUAAACUUUUCUUCAGCGUUUUUCUUCUUUUCUUCUUUGCUGAGGUUUGUUCUUCGUCAAUCCUCAACUUUUUCCUUUGUCUUUCUUCAUCCUUAUUCAUCCUUAUGCAUCGAUUUUUAAUAGUUUAUCCACUUAUGUUCAUGUUGUUGUGUGUAGAAGAAAUGAUGCAAGGCAAACAUCAAAAGGUUUUAUUUUUCUAUUACCCACUCAUAUCUUUCUGCAUUCUAUUUUAUAGUUGAUUCACUGAUUCAUCCUCCUUCUGAUUUUUUUGUAAUUUUUUUUUAUUUUUUUAGAAGCAAGCAGUAUCCAUGGAGACUGACAAGACCAAGGUCCUUUAAACAAUGAUUAAUGUUCUUUUUCGUUUUUGUUAUAUAAAUAUUGAUUUUUCAAAAUGUGAUAUUUAUCUACAAACUAUGAAGUUGGUUUUUUGCCAAGUUAUUGUUUAUUAACCUACAAGAUUGCAUUUUUUUGUUUGUAGAAGCAAGAAACUGUGAUUGAAAUUGAGAAGACUAGGGUAAGUAUUUGUUAGAUUUAUUUGUUUUGAACACCGAUACAUGUUUUUUUAGCGUUUUUGUUAUGUCAUUCUUCAUUUGUCAAGUUAUUAUCUUUAAUCUUUAAUAACCUGUGAAGUAUAAUUUUUUUGGUCAUAGAAACAAGCAACACCGAUGGAAACUGAGAAGACUAAGGUAAGUUUUUGUCAACUGAUACAUGUAUUUUUUAGCUUAUUUUAUAUUGUUCUUCAUUUGUCAACUGAUGAGGUAUUUAUCUACAAACUAUCAAGUUUUGAUUUUGUCAAGUUAUUGUUUAUUAACCUACCAAAAAUCAUUUUUAUUUUGGCCUCUAAGAAAACAACACCCAUCGAAACUCAGAAGACAAAGGUAACUAUUUAUAUGAUUUAACUGUGGUUGUUUAAAACUUUUUUAAAAUUUCUUAUAUUGACCUAUAAAUUUAUUCAUUUUUUUUGAGUAGAACGAAACAACAACUAUAGAAGCUGAUAAGAUUAAGGUAACUAUUAUUUAGAUUUCUGUAUUUUUUCAAGUAUUACAUGUGAUUUUCAACCAUUCUUUUACCUCAUGUUGUCUUAUUUUGUAGAAACAAAAGGUUGGUAGCUCGCUGAUAGAAGCUGAAAAAUCCAAG